rnacentral:ncRNA from 1 species
UUGUGAAUUGUGUUAUGCUGACUCGAUUUGGCAUUAGGCCGGGCCCAGUCUUGAAUUAUUCAAUGUAUGAAUAUUUCUUGAAUCAAUAAAAGUAAUUGUUUUAUAUGCGCUUCAUGAGUACUCUGAUAUUUGACUAGUCUGGUCUAACACAACGUUAGGUCAAGGUACGAGUUGAAAAGCCUUAGGCCUUGAUCUAACGGAAAACGCUAACUCUAGGUACGGGUUGCAAAGCCUUUUGCCUUGACGCAGCGGGACGAGUUAGUGGAUGAACUGGUCAAGGUCGUGGAGUAAAGUUUGUGACUCUGACCGGAUUGUCCCUAGCCCGUCACGUAGCGCUUUCGGACCAUGGUGUUGGGUUGGACGGUCAGUCAUGUUCUUGUUUGAUUGUUGGUUGGCCGGUUGGCCUUUCAUCUCCAACCCUUGGUGUGGGUCGUCCGUCGGUCAUGUUCUUGUUUGAUUGUUGGCCGGUGGGUCGACCUAUGCUUAGGACGGUUCGGGGGUGUUACAGUCGGGGGCAUUCGUAUUUCAUAGUUUGAGGUGAAAUUAUUGGAUUUAUGAAAGACGAACAACUGCGAAAGCAUUUACCAAGGAUGUUUUCAUUAAUCAAGAACGACAGUUGGGGGCUCGAAGACGAUCAGAUACCAUCCUAGUCUCAACCAUAAACGAUGCCGACCAGGGAUCAGCGGAUGUUGCUUUUAGGACUCCGCUGGCACCUUACGAGAAAUCAAAGUUUUUGGGUUCCGGGGGGAGUAUGGUUGCAAGGCUGAAACUUAAAGGAAUUGACGGAAGGGCACCACUAGGAGUGGAGCCUGCGGCUUAAUUUGACUCAACACGGGGAAACUUACCAGGUCCAGACAUACUAAGGAUAGACAGACUGAGAGCUCUUUUUUGAUUCUAUGGGUGGUGGUGCAUGGCCGUUCUUAGUUGGUGGAGCGAUUUGUCUGGUUAAUUCCGUUAAAAACGAGACCUCAACCUGCUAACUAGCUACGUGGAGGCAUCCCUUCACGGCCGGCAUCUUAAAGGGACUAUGGCCAUUUAGGCCAAGGAAGUUUGAGGCAAUAACAGGUAUGUGAUGCCCUUAGAUGUUAUGGGCCGCACGCGCGCUACACUGAUGUAUUCCACGAGUUCACACCUUGGCCGACAGGCCCGGGUAAUCUUUGAAAUUUCAUCGUGAUGGGGAUAGAUCAUUGCAAUUGUUGGUCUUCAGCGAGGAAUUCCUAGUAAGCGCGAGUCAUCAGCUCGCAUCGACUACGUCCCUCCCUUUUGUACACACCGCUCGUCGCUCCUACCGAUUGAAUGAUCCAGAAAGUGUUUGGAUCACGGCGACGUGGGUGGUUCGCUGUCUGUGAGGUCGCGAGAAGUCCACUAAGCCUUAUAAUUUAGAGGAAGGAGAAGGCAUAACAAGGUUUCCGUAGGUGAACCUGCGGAAGGAUCAUUG